GUGCAGCAGGCGCGAAACCUUCGCAAUGCACGAAAGUGCGACGAGGCUACUCCGAGUGCCAUCCGCUGAGGAUGGCUUUUGCCAGGUCUAAACCGCCUGGAGAAUAAGGGGAGGGCAAGUCUGGUGUCAGCCGCCGCGGUAAUACCAGCUCCUCGAGUGGUCGGGACGAUUAUUGGGCCUAAGCAUCCGUAGCCGGUUCUGUAGGUCUCCUGUCAAAUUCAACGGCUCAACCGUUGAGCUGCAGGAGAUACCGCAGGGCUAGGAGGCGGGAGAGGUGGACGGUACUCUAUGGGUAGGGGUAAAAUCUUCUGAUCCAUGGAAGACCACCAGUGGCGAAGGCGGGUAGCCAGAACGCGCUCGACGAUGAGGGGCGAAAGCUGGGGGAGCGAACCGGAUUAGAUACCCGGGUAGUCC
rnacentral:rRNA from 1 species